rnacentral:rRNA from 1 species
UUGAACGCUGGCGGCAUGCCUUACACAUGCAAGUCGAACGGCAGCACGGACUUCGGUCUGGUGGCGAGUGGCGAACGGGUGAGUAAUGCAUCGGAACGUGCCAUUGAGUGGGGAUAACGUAGCGAAAGUUGCGCUGAUACCGCAUAUUCUGUGAGCAGGAAAGCAGGGGACCGCAAGGCCUUGCGCUCUUUGAGCGGCCGAUGUCAGAUUAGCUAGUUGGUGAGGUAAAGGCUUACCAAGGCGACGAUCUGUAGCGGGUCUGAGAGGAUGAUCCGCCACACUGGAACUGAGACACGGUCCAGACUCCUACGGGAGGCAGCAGUGGGGAAUUUUGGACAAUGGGGGCAACCCUGAUCCAGCCAUGCCGCGUGAGUGAAGAUGGCCUUCGGGUUGUAAAGCUCUUUCGGCCGGGAAGAAAUCGCAUGGGCCAAUACCCUGUGUGGAUGACGGUACCGGAAUAAGAAGCACCGGCUAACUACGUG